rnacentral:rRNA from 1 species
UCGCUUUGGGAGGAGCUCGCUUACUAUCAGCUUGUUGGUAGGGUAACGGCCUACCAAGGCUAUGACGGUUAGGGGGUGUGAGAGCAUGACCCCCAGCAUUGGCACUGAAACACUGGCCAAACACCUACGGGUGGCUGCAGUCGAGAAUCUUCCACAAUGGGGGAAACCCUGAUGGAGCGAUGCUGCGUGCGGGAUGAAGGCCUUCGGGUUGUAAACCGCUUUUGUAGGGGACGAAAUUUUUGACGGUACCCUUUCGAAUAAGAGGUUGCUAACUCUGUGCCAGCAGCAGCGGUAAUACAGAGACCUCAAGCGUUAUCCGGAUUUACUGGGCGUAAAGCGUCUGUAGGGGGUUUAUUAAGUUCCAAGUAAAAUUUCAAGGCUCAACUUUGAAUUCGCUUGGAAAACUAAUAAACUGGAGUCUAGCAGAGGUGCAUGGAACUUGUGGUGUAGGAGUGAAAUCCGUUGAUAUCACAAGGAACACCAAAGGCGAAGGCAUUGCACUGGGCUAGCACUGACCCUGAGAGACGAAAGCGUGGGGAGCAAAACGGAUUAGAUACCCGUGUAGUCCACGCCCUAAACGAUGAAUGCUAAAUGUUCGGGGAUUCGACCCCCUGGGUGUUACAGCUAACGCGUUAAGCAUUCCGCCUGGGAAGUACGGCCGCAAGGCUAAAACUCAAAGGAAUAGACGGGGAUCCGCACAAGCGGUGGAGCGUCUGGUUUAAUUCGACAGUAAGCGUGGUACCUCACCAGGGUUUGACAUCCCUUGACAGCCUUGGAAACAAGGUUUCCUUCGGGCAAGGUGACAGGUGCUGCAUGGUCGUCGUCAGUUCGUGCCGUGAGGUGUUCCGUUAAGUCGGGAAACGAACGAAACCCCUAUUGCAUGUUACAAUUUCUCAUGCAAGACUGCCCGGAUAUACUGGGAGGAAGGUGGGGAUGACGUCAGAUCUGCAUGGUCCUUAUACCCUGGGCGACACAGGCGCUACAAUGGCAGAGACAAAGGGUUGCAAAACCGCAAGGUGAAGCUAAUCCCAAAAACUUUGUCUAAGUUCGGAUUGAAGGCUGCAAUUCGCCUUCAUGAAGCUGGAAUCGCUAGUAAUCGUGAAUCAGCCACGUCACGGUGAAUAUGUUCCCGGAUCUUGUACUCACCGCCCGUCACACCAAGAGAGUUGGUAGCUCCCGAAGCGUCCCGUUUUAGCGGGGCAUCACGGAGAGAUCAGCGAU